rnacentral:rRNA from 1 species
UACGUAGGGUGCAAGCGUUGUCCGGAAUUAUUGGGCGUAAAGAGCUCGUAGGCGGUCUGUCGCGUCGGCUGUGAAAACCCGGGGCUCAACCCCGGGCCUGCAGUCGAUACGGGCAGACUAGAGUGCGGUAGGGGAGACUGGAAUUCCUGGUGUAGCGGUGAAAUGCGUAGAUAUCGGGAGGAACACCUGUGGCGAAAGCGGCUCACUGGACCGCAACUGACGCUGAGGCGCGAAAGCUAGGGGAGCAAACAGG